rnacentral:lncRNA from 1 species
UUUAUGACAGACAAGCCUUGUCUUCUAUUCAUAUAGAUAUGCACCUUUUUCUACAUGUAUGGCCUUUACUUACUACACAGCAAGUAGGCCUCAAAGUAAUCUUCCUCUUUCCCAUCAAUCAUCUUCUGCCAAGCAUUCAGGCAGAGCAGCUGUUAACUGUGAUUCAAAGUCAGAAAAACAUCAAGAACUUCUUUGAUGCAUAGGGUGUAUCAGCACUCAGCUCCCACAGAAGUCAAGUCACAAAAUAUAGUGUCAGUUAACUAUAAGGAAGUUCCGGAGAGGUAAAGCUCAGGAAAGAUGUAAUGCAAAGCUGAUUGUUUAAUGUCUUACAGAUUUACACUGUCUUUAAAAGGCCAAAUAAGGCUGGGCGCAGUGGCUCACACCUGUAAUCCCAACAUUUUGGGAGCCCAAGGCGGCCGGACCACCUGAGGUCGGGAGUUCAAGACCAGCCUGACCAACAUGGAGAAACCCUGUCUCUACUAAAAAUACAAAAAUUAGCCAGGAGUGUUGGUGCAUGACUGUAAUCCCAGCUACUCAGGAGGCUGAGGCAGGAGAAUCGCUUGAACCUGGGAGGUAGAGGUUGUGGUGAGCUGAGAUCGUGCCAUUGCACUCCGGCCUGGGCAAUAAGAGUGAAACUCUGUCUCAAAAAAAAAAAAAAAGCCAAAUAAAUCAGGGUUUUACCAGGGGCUCAGAGAUAAAAAGAAAACCUAUUCCUAUCUUAGCAUUUUGGUCUCAUUGGUUUAUAGACUCUGAUAAUAUCCCUAUCCAUGGAUCAUUUGAGUAUUGACUAAUGUACAUAGGUACCCAACUGGUUGAUUAUUAAUCAAGAAUACAGAACUUUAUUUAAUAAUUAGCACACCCUGAUCUGGCUUCUUUGCUUGCUUUUCUUUGGAUCCCUGUCCAAUAACCUCUGUGGAAUCUCAUUCCCUAAUUGUUGAUACUCAUUUUCUCCGUUUGCAAAAUGAAGAUACUCAUUGUUAGGAUCCUACUGCUGAAGGGUGCUAUGUCACUUUCUAGUGCUCUUAUAUGUCUUUAAUUAUAGGACUGGAAUGAAAAGCUUAACCAUACAGUAUUUCUAAGCAAAAUAAUGUACUCCAUUCUUUUGUCCAUGCUCUCAUUGCUGAUUUGUUCUUGCAGGACUUAGAGCACUUUGUUAAUGUUCUUCCAUUCACUCCAACAGCGUCCUCAGAAAGAGACAGAAUAAAAAAAUUGUUCCCCAUGGUACAGCUGGAAAAAUUAAGGGGAAAAGAGAUUAAGUGGUCCCCAAUGGAACACAGCUGUCUUAUGCAGGGCUCACAGUUACCAUGUUCAGUACAUUGUUAAAGUAACUUGGCUUCCCAGGACUGGAAUUAUCAUGGAGCAGUUAGAAUUUUGAGAGUAAUUACAACAGGAUCACAUUCUGAAAGAGUCACAUUUUGUCAAAAAUCUGAAAAGUAUGCAAUUUGUACAACUCUUACUUUCUAUGUGAUAAGAAUGCAAUAUGUGCCUCUUUCCCCUACUAGCCCCAUGUGACACAUAUUUUUCACACUAUGUGGCAUCAACCAGUGCCAUUACCUCCUGUGGCACCAUAGAGCCCAAUCUCAGGGCAGACAUUGCCAAGGUAAAGAAUGCACUCCAUGUUUAUACCAAAUUGCACAAAGUAUAGACAUUGAGGUUAAUGGAGAUUUAAGCACAAUCCUAGCAAGUAAGUUUUAAGAAUACUGAAUAUUAUACAUUAUUGUAACAUGAACCUAAAAUUAAUUUAACAGGGCCCAAAUUCAUAGGAAUGUAACAGUCAUUGAAAGCCUAUUCUUUUCACCUCUCAUCACACAUAUCUACAUACAUGUAUGCACAUGUACACACACACACACACACACACACACACACAUACACAUUUUCUCCAAAGCAGGCUGCCUCUUCAGCAGGAGCAAAUACUUUAAUUUAAAAGAAUGAUUAUCUGUUUUCUCCUUUUAGAAAAAGAGUCUAAGAAACACAGCAUGUGAAGAACAUUAGAUUUAUACAUUCCAGAAUCUCUGCUCUCAGAGUAGCUAAGAGAUUCGGUACAGAAGACGUUCUAUGGAGAAGCACAGGGGGCAUCUAAUGAGAUUGUCAGGCCCUUGGACAAGAUCCAUAUUCUUAGAAAAUUAAUGAGUUCCAUCUCGUUAGGAAUUGGUUGAUGAGGUAUGGUACAUCUGCAUUUCUUUAACCAUAGCUGUAAUGUACCAUAUUAAAUUGUAGCCUUUUGCAUGCGGGUAUUAUAUAAUAAUGAAUGGGUGGCUCCUAGUAGCAUGCAACCCAUGACUGUUUACUUCCCUAAAAGGGUUAGGUCUGUGUCCUGCACAGUGUUCAAAACCAUUAAAUGUGUUCUUUGUAGCAGGAUGGUACACAGCCAUCAGCAGAAUGAGUUAAAACCAACAAUGAAUUCAAUAUACCAGGAAAUAGAUUGUUAGUAGGGAAUGGCAUUAAAGGAAAAAAAAAUUAGAUAAGAUGCAUUCAAGGAAUAAUUACUUUCACUCUGCUGGCUUAAUCAGUGAAGGAACAUAAAAGGAAAGCUGGCAGUGGGUCUUGGUAAUAUAUGAACUAUAUUAGAGUGCCAGAAAAGGAGACCUCAGAAGUUAAGCAUAGGUUGCCAAUCUGCUACAAUUAUUUUUCCCACCAAUCUGCUCAAAAUGAUUGUAUAUAGUAUUCUUAAAACCAUGUGUCUUGGUGCAGAAAUAUUGACAAAUGCUGGCCAGCUUUAUCUUCCUAUAUCCUUCAUUAAAAGUAUAUGCAUAUAA